rnacentral:rRNA from 1 species
AUUGAACGCUGGCGGCAUGCCUUACACAUGCAAGUCGAACGGCAGCACGGGAGCAAUCCUGGUGGCGAGUGGCGAACGGGUGAGUAAUAUAUCGGAACGUGCCCAGUCGUGGGGGAUAACGUAGCGAAAGCUACGCUAAUACCGCAUACGAUCUACGGAUGAAAGCGGGGGAUCGCAAGACCUCGCGCGAUUGGAGCGGCCGAUAUCAGAUUAGCUAGUUGGUGGGGUAAAAGCUCACCAAGGCGACGAUCUGUAGCUGGUCUGAGAGGACGACCCAGCCACACCUGGAACUGAGACACGGUCCAGACUCCUACGGGAGGCAGCAGUGGGGAAUUUUGGACAAUGGGCGCAAGCCUGAUCCAGCAAUGCCGCGUGCAGGAUGAAGCCUUCGGUUGUAAACUGCUUUUGUACGGUAACGAAACGGUGAAGCUCUAAUAAAGCUUGCUAAUGACGGUACCGUAAGAAUAAGCACGGCCUAACUAACGUGCCACG